GUGGGGAAUAUUGCGCAAUGGAGGCAACUCUGACGCAGCCAUGCCGCGUGCAGGAAGAAGGCGCUACGCGUUGUAAACUGCUUUUAACCGGGAAGAAACCCCAGGACGUGUCCUGGGUUGACGGUACCGGAGGAAUAAGCACCGGCUAACUUCGUGCCAGCAGCCGCGGUAAUACGAAGGGUGCAAGCGUUAUCCGGAUUCAUUGGGUUUAAAGGGUGCGUAGGCGGAGCGUUAAGUCAGUGGUGAAAUCCUGCAGCUUAACUGUAGACUUGCCAUUGAUACUGGCGCUCUUGAGUGCGCUUGAAGUGGGCGGAAUGUGCCGUGUAGCGGUGAAAUGCUUAGAUAUGGCACAGAACACCAAUUGCGAAGGCAGCUCACUAAGGCGAUACUGACGCUGAGGCACGAAAGCGUGGGGAUCGAACAGGAUUAGAAACCCGUGUAGUCC
rnacentral:rRNA from 1 species